GGCCUGGUAGCUCAGCCGGUAGAACAUAGGGCAUGUAUCCUGGGGUCACAGGUUCGAUACCUGUUCAGGCCG
rnacentral:tRNA from 1 species